UUUGACUGCAUGCUUAUCCCAAGUCCAUG
rnacentral:piRNA from 1 species